GCCCUGGAGGUUUUGGCCAAACAACACUUACAAUCCAGUCUCAGUGUACCACGGCCUCUACAAAAAUGUAGGAUAGUCAUCCCAGGGUGGUAGCUGCCAGGAAGG